UGAUGCGUGAUGUGUGUGGUGUGCAAGGCAAUAUUACUACGAGGUAGUACCAAGAGCACCAGCGAUUCUAAAAUAAGACUACGAGCUACCGUCGCGUUUGAAUAAAUUUCGCAGUUGAGAACGCGCCGCAGUAACGCGCGCGUGAAUAAUUCGCACGUACGUUCAUUCUUGAGAUGAGCCCUCGCGCUCGACGCUCAUUGCACGCGGAGGUCUUGUAAGGGUCGCUUCGCCGAGGGAAAAAAAAGGCGUCGUCGCGCUGCGAUGCCGCUGCGCUUUGACAGAACGAAGGAUAAUGCACUGUUGACGAGGACCAUCAUCCGGAGGCACACGUUCUCAUGCACGCUAUCGACGCGGUGAACAGAAUGGGCAAGCAAAACGGCUCGUGCUGGUGGUGUGUUAAAGCCGUUAAAUGGAUACCAGUGCUCUUCAUCCUGACAAUCGUCGCCUGGUCCUAUUAUGCCUACGUGGUGCAGUUGUGCUACUACACAAUAGACAGCUAUGCUCAAAAAGCUAUCUACCUGCUCUUCUUCCACAUUCUAAUUCUGAUGUUUUUGUGGUCAUAUUGGCAGACAGUGUACACAAAUUUAAUGCCAGUACCAGAUAAGUUUAAAAUACCCGAUGUCGAAAUGGAGAAGUUGCAGCAAGCCGAAACUGAGGAAGUGCAGAGACUAAUUUUGGAAAGAUUUGCACAAGAUCUUCCAGUUACCAACCGCACUAUAAAAGGAGCCAUGCGAUUCUGUGAGAAAUGUCAGUUAAUAAAACCCGAUAGGGCACACCACUGCAGCGUGUGCGGCACUUGCGUCUUAAAGAUGGAUCACCACUGUCCGUGGGUGAAUAAUUGCGUAGGCUUCCACAACUACAAAUUCUUCAUGCUGUUUCUGGCGUAUGCACUUAUCUACUGUAUAUUUAUUACCGCCACAUCUUUGCAAUACUUUAUACAAUUUUGGAAGGGCGAAUUAGACGGAAUGGGUAGAUUUCACCUACUGUUCCUUUUUUUUGUUGCGUUGAUGUUUGCAGUUAGUCUUACCUCCCUUUUCUGCUACCAUUGCUAUCUUGUUGUGCAUAAUAGGUCAACGCUAGAGGCUUUUAGAACGCCUAUGUUCCGGACGGGAAAAGACAAGGACGGAUUUAGCCUGGGAAAAUACAAUAAUUUUCAGGAAGUAUUCGGUGACAACUCGCGUCUCUGGUUUCUUCCUGUAUUUAGUAGUAUACCGCCUAUCAUAAUCUUUACCAUAAAAAAAAACGACUAUGCGGUUUGGCAUACUUAAACGAAAUUUGAAAUACGGUAAUAUAAGUACACUGCAGGGCCUUGAAAUAAAGUCACUGCUGUGAUAGGUCCUUCUGUGGACGUCGAACAACCGUUGGUGAAUAAUACAGAAUCUGUCUGAAUGACACCGUUCGCGCGACAAUGCCUCGUGUCCAUGCCUUCGUGCAAUCAUUGCAAUUGCUUUACGAUACGAUGGAUAUGAUUGAGAAUUAUUGAUUUACGCUCGCUUUCUUAAAUCUUAUGAAAUGAGAUUUUAAUUUGUGGCAUUGUGUAUGUAUUACAUAAUGCUGUUAUCGUAAAAAGAGAUUUACACCAAAUUGUUACCAUAGUGAAUGCAGAUAUUUUUAACACUACAGGUUGUCUCACACUAAGAUACUUUGCGUAUUAACUGUAUUAUAUAUAUUGUAAUAUAUACAUGGAUCGUUGUUAAAAAAACGUAUUGUUAUGAUAACUCCUUGUAAUUUUAAUCUUAGUAUAUAUUACAUAAUAUAAUUGAACUAUCUUGUAGCGUGGUAAAUAAUAUCGAUGUCACUAUAAAUUUACAGCUGCUUGUGUAGAUUAUAAUGUGUAUCAUAAAUGGCGAGAGAAGUCAGUUUAAUGUGACGAUCGAACAACUGCAUUUGCACUGACUACCUCUGUCAGGAUACAAAUAUGUACAUGUGUGUUGAACAGAACAAGAAUUACAAAUAAAAAUUCGUCCAAGUUGCAUUGAAAGAUAAAUGGGAUGAUUCUAUAAUAAAUUUAUAAUAACUCUUUAAGAUUACUAUUAUUGUGUAUAACUUUCCAGGUUUACUAUGUAAUAUUUUUACAUAAAAUAAUAUUGGUUGUCUUUACAGAAAACAAUGUAAAAAGAAUAGAAUUAUAUAUUAAUUCGUUUCUCAAUAAUUUAUAAAACGUACGAAAAUACGUAUGUAUAGUUUUGCACGAUUUGCAAAACUAUACAUUUGCAAAUAUAUAUUUAUCUUAACUUUAUAUCACAUACAAAGUGAGAAUCAUCCUAUUUUGUUUAAAUUGAUACUUAAUAAGCUAAGAUCUUGUUUCACGUUUUGCAAAAUUUAAUAAUUAAGUGCCAUCGAUUUCUUAACUUUGUAAUAUUCUUAUAAUGCGAUUUACUUUAUCAUAGUCACAUAUAUAUUAUUAAAUAUCUAUGUUAUACAAGCUUUAUUUUACAAUGGAGGGUGUAACGGUGUAAUAUUAUUAAAAUAUCAAACACAUACAUGACAACAGAAUUAUAAAGAAGAAUUAUAAAGAGAUGUCUGUACUUAUAUCUGUAAACGCGAUUACAAUUAAUGAUUACUUAUGGUUUACAUAUUAAUUUUCCAGAAUAUCGUUUUUAUAUAAAAAAUAUUUGGAAUGACAAUAUUAGUUUUACAAAUACUUAAAUAAUAUUUGGAAAAAUUAAAAAAUGCAAUAUGUUUCUGUGCAAUUUGUUACAUGUUGCGACUUUUAGACAUAAAAAUUAUUCGUACAUAUUUUAUAUUGGACUGCCAUGCUUAAUUAUAUUGCGUAUGUUUGUGUACUUUUAAAGAAUUAUGUGUAUUUUUAUUCUCAAAUAUUGAAACUAUACACACACGUCUCACGUGUAUGUAACAAUUAUUAAGAGCUACGUCAAAUCCUAAAAGCUAAGUAAACAAUAAUCUACACGUGUGAGUUGUGUAGAUUAAUGUUUAGUUAGGUAUGCUGAGCCUGUAUUUCUUAUGUAUUUAAUUCUUUAAUGUAAAAAAUUUACAACAUGCUUAUCGAAAAUGAUUUAUUAAUCAUCGUUGACUGGAAACCUUAUUACUUUUCAAAACAGUGUGUAUAAGGAAUUAUAAAUUACAGUAUGUUUACGAAACUA
rnacentral:misc_RNA from 1 species